UUUCCCUCUGUUUGGCGGCGCGGUCGGUGUGCGGCGCUUCAGUGGAGUGAAAUGUCGGCGCGCGUACCAUAUUCGCGGCGCGCGUUUUGUUUCGCUGGUGAAUGUGCGGAAUGCAACGAUGAGCGAGCCUCCCUCCCAUGGCUACCUGAAGUCAGACGAUAAGCUUUUUAAGAGGUCCUUGGCUGCCGUCAACGAGAGGUAUGCUGUGCGGACGUCAGGAGACCUGAACAAGCCGUCUAAAUCCAAUGUCGUCUUCUCCACAAUCCACUGCGGAUGUCAAAUCUCUCUGGGGAAUGUGCCAUUUCGAGUUGUGAAGGAAACAGUCAGUCUGCAAGUUCGGAAUGGAAUACUACAACAAGACUCAGGGAGAAAAAGACCAGGAUUCAAGCACCACUGACUGGCCGAAGGAGGUGUACGAGAAAAAGUGAAUGAACCUCCAAGGCGCAGAAAAGAGGGUUCGUGAGACUUUUCCCCUUUCCGUAGAACGGCUAUGUAGCACGCAC